UGCAAAGCGACGGCGCAAGGUUUCAGC
rnacentral:piRNA from 1 species